GACGAACCGUGCGAACGUUAUUCGGAAUCACUGGGCUUAAAGCGCGUGUAGGCGGGACGGCACGUCGGUUGCUGAAAUCCCCCGGCUCAACCGGGGAACGGGCAGCGAUACGACCGUCCUGGAGGGGGGUAGGGGGAGCUGGAACUUCCGGUGGAGCGGUGAAAUGCGUUGAGAUCGGAAGGAACGCCCGUGGCGAAAGCGAGGUCCUGGACGUCUGCUGACGCUGAGACGCGAAAGCUAGGGGAGCAAACGG
rnacentral:rRNA from 1 species